rnacentral:piRNA from 1 species
AGCUCACAGGUGUCAAAGGUGUGCCCGAA